UAACGGCGAGUGAAGCGGCAACAGCUCAAAUUUGAAAUCUGGCCCUAGGCCCGAGUUGUAAUUUGUAGAGGAUGCUUUUGGUGCGGUGCCUUCUGAGUUCCCUGGAACGGGACGCCAAAGAGGGUGAGAGCCCCGUAUAGUCGGACACCAAGCCUCUGUAAAGCUCCUUCGACGAGUCGAGUAGUUUGGGAAUGCUGCUCAAAAUGGGAGGUAAAUCUCUUCUAAAGCUAAAUACCGGCUAGAGACCGAUAGCGCACAAGUAGAGUGAUCGAAAGAUGAAAAGCACUUUGAAAAGAGGGUUAAACAGCACGUGAAAUUGUUGAAAGGGAAGCGCUUGUGACCAGACUUGCGCCCGGUUGAUCAUCCAGCGUUCUCGCUGGUGCACUCUGCCGGGCUCAGGCCAGCAUCGGUUCUCGCGGGGGGAUAAAAGCUUCGGGAAUGUGGCUCCCUCGGGAGUGUUAUAGCCCGCUGCAGAAUACCCUCGCGGGGACCGAGGUUCGCGCUCCGCAAGGAUGCUGGCGUAAUGGUCAUCAGCGACCCGUCUUGAAACACGGACCAAGGAGUCAAGCAUUAGGGCGAGUGUUUGGGUGUAAAACCCGCACGCGUAAUGAAAGUGAAUGUAGGUGAGAGCUUCGGCGCAUCAUCGACCGAUCCUGAUGUAUUCGGAUGGAUUUGAGUAAGAGCCUUACCGCUUGGACCCGAAAGAUGGUGAACUAUGCAUGAAUAGGGUGAAGCCAGAGGAAACUCUGGUGGAGGCUCGCAGCGGUUCUGACGUGCAAAUCGAUCGUCAAAUUUGUGCAUGGGGGCGAAAGACUAAUCGAACCAUCUAGUAGC
rnacentral:rRNA from 1 species